GCUUUUUCUAGAAGACUGAUCAUGUGUACAUUAUUAAAAAUUAAAACAUGCAAGCACAAGAUGACAAAUGAAGAUGUCAGAUCAAUCCUAUCAAGUCUGAACUCAAAAAGAUCAGCGUGCAGAACCCGAGGAUCUUACCGGACACCAGCCACUGGCCUCCAUUGUUGGAAAACUCGAUGGCGUUGACGCAGCCGAAGUGGCCGAGCAUGUCCUUCUUAUAGAGGCUGGAGCAGCCGGCCAGUCUGCGCCGCUGGAACUCCUCCUUCAGCUUCGGCUGUCCCCCGAUCGUCCUGCGGGAGAGGAACCCGACGGCGCUCCGCAUGCCGCAGCCCCGCACCUCCUUCAUCUCUCCUCCGUCAUGGACAUGGUCGGCUGAUGUGUAAUCUCUGCUCCGCCCAGUGGGAGGCGGCUAACCUGCAGUGAGCGGAAGGUGCACCUAAGCGUGAUUUUGCCAGAGGAGUCUCUCUUCUCCAAUUCUUUCUUCCUUUCUGAUGGAGCAAUCCAGUAGUCAACCUGAAGGCCCAUCAACUCCCCCUGGC